CGUAGGGACCAAGCGUUGUUCGGAUUUACUGGGCGUAAAGGGCGCGUAGGCGGCCUAGCAAGUCACUUGUGAAAUCUCCGGGCUUAACUCGGAACUGCCAAGUGAAACUGCCAGGCUAGAGUGCAGAAGGGGCAAUCGGAAUUCUUGGUGUAGCGGUGAAAUGCGUAGAUAUCAAGAGGAACACCUGAGGUGAAGACGGGUUGCUGGGCUGACACUGACGCUGAGGCGCGAAAGCCAGGGGGAGCAAAACGGGGAUUAGAUACCCCCGGUAGUCCUGGCCCUAAACGAUGAAUACUUGGUGUCUGGAGUUUUUAGUGCUCCGGGUGCCGUCGCUAACGUUUUUAGUAUUCCGCCUGGGGAGUACGCUCGCAAGAGUG
rnacentral:rRNA from 1 species